rnacentral:rRNA from 1 species
CCCUUAGAUGUCCGGGGCCGCACGCGCGCUACACUGAAGGAAUCAGCGUGGCUCUGUCCCUGGUCCGAAAGGAUUGGGAAACCCGUUGAAUCUCCUUCGUGAUAGGGAUUGGGGCUUGGAACUGUUCCCCAUGAACGAGGAAUUCCCAGUAAGCGCGAGUCAUAAGCUCGCGUUGAUUACGUCCCUGCCCUUUGUACACACCGCCCGUCGCUCCUACCGAUUGAAUGGUCCGGUGAAGCGUUCGGACCGUGGCCUUUGGACGGUUCGCCGUCUGUUGGCUGCGGGAAGUUCGUUAAACCUUAUCAUUUAGAGGAAGGAGAAGUCGUANCA